UCUUCGUCAAUGGGCGCAAGCCUGAACGAGCGAUGCCGCGUAAGCGAUGAAGGCCUUCGGGUUGUAAAGCUCAAAAGGGAUGAGAAAGGGAAACUUGAUCGAAUCCCAGUAAGCUCGGGCUAAGUUCGUGCCAGCAGCCGCGGUAAGACGAACCGAGCGAACGCUGUUCGGAAUCACUGGGCUUAAAGGGCGCGUAGGCGGGGUCGUCAGUCUGUGGUGAAAUCCUCCGGCUCAACCAGAGAACUGCCUCGGAUACUGCGGCUCUCGAGGGUGAUAGGGGUAUGCGGAACUAUCGGUGGAGCGGUGAAAUGCGUUGAUAUCGAUAGGAACUCCGGUGGCGAAGGCGGCAUACUGGAUCACUUCUGACGCUGAGGCGCGAAAGCCAGGGGAGCAAAC
rnacentral:rRNA from 1 species